GAGCUUUUAACCCCAAAUGAACCUAAUAACUUAUAACACAAAGAGUGAUGCUUAAUGGCCAUAAAAAUGGACAAAUCUUGAAAUUAUGGUUUAAAAUUCACUGCCACUGGCUGCCUUUUAGCAACAAUGAUCUCCUAAUGGAAAUGACACUCAAGAGCUGCACACAUUCAUCAGCUUAUCUUAUCUAGAAAUCAUUUGGUGAAUGCACAGGAAAUGGUUAAAUCUUUGAAAACAGAACUUCAGCACGUUUGCACUAAACAAACAAAUGCUAGCGACAGACAUGAAAAGCCUUAAGAAUGUCUGAACAUGCAAGAUACUGCUCAGCCUUCUGCUUUAUCUUCACCAUUGACUGUUUGUUGGUGACGCAUGUAAAGGCACAAGACUCUUCCAGUGAUGAAACAGAAAUCAAAUAUGCCGUCAUAGGAGCAGGAAUUGGCCUUUUCUUUUCCAUCUGCUUUCUGCUAAUCAAAAUGUACAUCAUCAAAAAGCAGGUGCAUGAUAAUGAAUUCUCAGGUAAGUGUUUUCCUAUAAAUCUGAUUUAAAAAAUGAACAAUCUUAGAUUUAAUCAAAUCAAACAAAAUCUUCAUUAUUUUUAACACUUGGAUAUUUUUAAAGACACAACACCAAGAAGAGCAUCUCCACGGUAAGAACAUUUUUAUAUGCAAAUUACACUUUCCUAUAUCACUAUAAUCAUUAUAUAGUCUAUAUAGUUAUAAAACAUUUGAUUGAUUUGAAUGUGAAUCUCAUAAAAUGAUGACCUCUGUUUUUAAGGAUCAUUGAUGUGGAGAGCAGGAGGGAAUGAAAUGUCUUCUGAGGAUUAAUUAUUACAGUUCUUUGUCAUUCUAUGGCAAUUUGAUACUUUUAUUUAUUAAAUGGUGACCAGUUUAGGCCUAUAAAACAAAUGAUUGUAAAAUCAGCAGAUCAGUGCCAUUGCUGUGCCUUCAUGAGGUCAUUUUGUGCUUUUUGACCCAUACCUGCUUAAAUGUGAAUAAUAUAUAUACUGUAUUUGGAGCUAUAUAUUCAUUAAUUGUAACAUAAAAAAAAUACUGUUUGUAUCAAGAGCAUAAAAGAUUUAAACCAGCUUGUCUUUUCAUUUAGAAUCCAUUUGUUGUCUUUGAUCAUGUUUAGCAACAAUGAUCUCCUAAUGGAAAUGACACUCAAGAGCUGCACACAUUCAUCAGCUUAUCUUAUCUAGAAAUCAUUUGGUGAAUGCACAGGAAAUGGUUAAAUCUUUGAAAACAGAACUUCAGCACGUUUGCACUAAACAAACAAAUGCUAGCGACAGACAUGAAAAGCCUUAAGAAUGUCUGAACAUGCAAGAUACUGCUCAGCCUUCUGCUUUAUCUUCACCAUUGGUAUGUCAUUUUUAUAAUUUAUGGAAGCAGGGAUACCACAUUUAUUUUCAUUGGUAUUUAAAAAUGUGACAUCAAAUAUAAAAUGAUUAUUAUUAUUAUUAUUAUUUAUUAUUAU
ensembl:lncRNA